ACGUAGGAGGCAAGCGUUAUCCGGAUUUACUGGGCGUAAAGCGCAUGUAGGUGGCUUCGUAAGUUGGAUGUGAAAGCUCCUGGCUUAACUGGGAGAGGUCGUUCAAGACUGCGAGGCUUGAGAGUGGUAGAGGAAGGUGGAAUUCCGGGUGUAGUGGUGAAAUGCGUAGAUAUCCGGAGGAACACCAGUGGCGAAAGCGGCCUUCUGGACCAUUUCUGACACUCAGAUGCGAAAGCUAAGGUAGCAAACGG
rnacentral:rRNA from 1 species